rnacentral:rRNA from 1 species
CUACGGGGCGCUGCAGUGAGGAAUAUUGCACAAUGGGGGGAACCCUGAUGCAGCAACGCCGCGUGGAGGAUGACGCAUUUCGGUGUGUAAACUCCUUUUAUAUGUCAAGAAAAUGACGGUAGCAUAUGAAUAAGCACCGGCUGACUCCGUGCCAGCAGCCGCGGUAAUACGGAGGGUGCAAGCGUUACUCGGAAUCACUGGGCGUAAAGGACGCGUAGGCGGGUUGGAAAGUCAGGUGUGAAAUCCUAGAGCUUAACUGUAGAACUGCACUUGAAACUUCUAAUCUAGAGUAUGGGAGGGGGAGAUGGAAUUAGUGGUGUAGGGGUAAAAUCCGUAGAUAUCACUAGGAAUACCUAAAGCGAAGGCGAUCUCCUGGAACAUUACUGACGCUAAGGCGUGAAAGCGUGGGGAGCAAACAGGAUUAGAUACCCGCGUAGUC